GUUAAAAUUUCCAUAUAAAAAAUAAAUAAUAAAAUGUAAUUAAAUUGUAUAGAAAAGGGGGCGGGUCUAAACGAGGAACUUAGCUGACGUCGCUGUUACCGUGAUCCUGUGCUCGUCCUGCUCCCUGCAGAUCCUCUCAUCUCAACUCAGGACAGUCCUCCGUCUCUGUAGCAGUCACUCAGCAUUUAUAGCUGUCUUUGGACUUGUGUUUUAGUACAAGUGUGUCCAUCAGUGUAGUUACACACAGCUGCAAAGGUGACCAUUCCUUUAUAUUUCUUUAAUGAGGCAGCCUCUGGUUUUAUAUGUACUGUCAGUGGUUUUAGUCCAAUAAAAAAAGCCAGUGGAGUGA